UCAGUGCCCUUUGGGGACGUGGCCGUCCACGUAGAAGUUGCGGGUGACGCGCGGCAGAGUGAAGACAGCGCCCUCCAGCGGUGGGAGGAGCGUCAGCUGACAGCACAGCCGCGACUCCACGCGCAGCUGCGGCGCCGUGUCCAGGAGGUCCUCCUCCCUCUCGCAGGGGGGGGGGCAGAUGCUCCAGGUGUGGGCGCUGACGUAGACGUGGCACGUGGAGCACGCCAGGGACGCCUCGCACGCCCCCUCAAUGGGAACGCCGCACUCCCGGGCGAGCUGCAGGACGUUGUCCCCCACGCGGCCCCGCGCCUCCACCCUCCGCCCCGCGCUGUCCACGAACACCACGUUCACCACGGCUCUCUCGGGCUCCUCCGCCGCCGCGGUUCCGCACAGACGCCGCACCGCAGCGCUGCGCAGCAACCGCCGCCACAGCGCCCCCGUGGGGGCGGCCAUGUUGGGCGCCACGUGACCGGGCCGCGUGACCGCAGCGUC
rnacentral:lncRNA from 1 species